ensembl:lncRNA
GUCUGCUGGGCAAAAGGGUUUUGAGUUUGAGAGCAAUAAAGACCAAACUCUACGUUAUGAAAACGUAUUCAGAGAGAAGAACUCGGGCGGUUUGGAUGAAGAUUAAAUGGCUUUUUAUGAGCUUCGCUCCACCGACAUGACGUCGGGCUUCCAGCGAGAUGCAUUAAUAUCGGUGCAAUUCAAGUUUUACGGAAACUCAACGUUGGUUCUUCACGGCUUGGAAAGAAGGAAAUAACGAGUAACUAGAACUAGCUUUACAUUUUAUACAUUUUCUUUUUUCUUUAGAAAAGUAUUGUGCAGAUUUAUGCCAAUGGGAAGAGUGGUUCAUGUGGAUGUCAAAAGACCCUGAUUCUGAGAAUCCAAACGAGGAGGAAAAGGAGACAUCUGAGAGGUCAGAGGCCGUUGAUCUCACAUCCUCUCUGGAGGCUGAAGACCAGACGACCCCCCCGGAGCCCCCCAAUGACUCUGAAAUGGUGACGGCCUCCGGAGACCCUGAAGUCUCCAUCGUCCUCAACAUCGAGGACACCGACCCGACCCAGCCACGAUCCAGCCAGCCGCCCCCCGAGGAAGACCUUUCCAAAACCCCCUCGAAGAAGAAGAAGAAAAAGAAGAGCAAAGAGGAGGCGGAGGCACCGAGCACCGACUCGUCCACCGUAGACGCACCCAGCGACGCUCCUCUCGCCGCCAAGACCGCCAAAAAGAUGAAGAGAGACAAACGGAGGGCCGAGGGGAAGCAGACGGAAGAAAAGGAGGAGGCAGAUCAGACGAUAGAGGAGGCGGAUGCCUCUUUGGCCACUUCACCGGAGGAGGAGAAGAAGAAGAAGAAGAAGGCUAAGAAAAGGAAGAUGGAGCAAGAGGUAGCGGAGGAGAAGGAAGAGGUCACGCCUUCAGAGAAGAAAAUCAAAAAGAAGAAGAAGAAGGUAACAGAAGAGAAGAGCGAGGCCGUAGAAGUGGAGUGCAGCUUGUCCUCGAGUCCAGCCAAGACAAAGAAGAAGAAACCGUCUAAGGAAACACCAGCAGGGGGCAACACAGACACAGACAAGGAUCAGGAGUCCACAGAUGCAAGCUCAUCGACUAAGAAUCGCCGUUUCAGGAAGAAACACAGCCUCGUGAAAAGACAAAAGGCGACCGCGGAGGAGACGCCCCAAGGUGACCCCGCCCAGAAGAGCGACGACACACCAAAGAAGAAGAAGAAGAUGAUUAAAAUGAACGGAGAGCAAGAAGAGAAUUCCUCAAAGGAAAACCAACCGCCGAAGAAGAAAAAGAAGAAGCAAACAGAGGAGGAGGAGGAAAAGGAGGAGAGCUCCGGACCUCCUGAGACGGCAUCGACUCCACUUCCAAAGGAAGGCAAGAAGAAGAAGAAGAUGAUGAUCAUGGCUGAAGAAGGCGAGGAGACGACUGACAGCCCCAUGCCCGUCACUUCUGCAAAGAAAAAGAAGAGGAACCGGUCGGAGGAGACGGAACCGGCUGCAGAGGAACAAACUCCUCCCGCUGCGAAGAAAAAGAAAACCCCCAAAAAGAUAAAAAUCGCCUCAGACGAUCUCUGAGCAAAUCUCGGAUUCCUCUGACCCGUCGCUGCUGGACCUGAAAACCCCGAAACAAGACAAUCUCCUUCAUGUUUGUGCCUUUACACCUGAAAUAAUAACUGUUCUCAUAAAAGUAUAUUCCUAAAGGACACAAUGUUUACGGUCCCGUUUCACUGUCGUCUCCUUUUUAAAGCUUCCUCUGCGUUUUUAUCUCGAAGCAGAGCUGCUGCGGUGGGAAGAAGAUGCAUUUCGAGCUUCCUCGUAUUGCCAAAGUCAUUUUUGAGGCCCGUACUGAUCAAUUUCAAUAUAAUACAUUUCUGGAUGCAUUUAGCGGUGACUUAUUUAGCGGCAUCCGUUUGCGGUUGCUAUGGAAACGUGGAGCAGCUUGGUAUUUGGGGCUGCAAAGACAUUUUCAAUCAAAGGUUAUUCAGGGUUGGAUGUUCCGCCCUUCAGGGAUUGCUGCUACGCUGCAGCAUUUAAUAAAACAAAUGCCAUCUGCAUCCCAUGCAAACUAAGCGGUGACGAACGGAAGCGCUGAAUAUCUUACUGUCGUUAAAGGUGUCCUCCGUUUAGGAUGUGCGUUAAGGGAAAAGCUGUGAAACAGACAAGGUCUUUGAAUCAUCUUCUGUUGGUUUAUAAAUGGAUAGUUCAUGUAUUUGUAGUGAAGAGGCGAAAAAGUAUGUUUCGUCUCGAGGGAGAAACUCGUGUUUUUACUUUUUUAGUAAGCUGUGAAAUGUUUGUUUUCACACUGUUUCCUUAAAACCAUUAACUAUGCAUCUGUUAAAGGCUCUGGGAUGAAAUACUUACUUAUCUGUUCUGAGAACUAACACGUGUGAGACAAUAAAAACUCCCAAACGCUUUAAUUGUCUUUUGCUUUACACUUGACAGAAGCUUCAUUCUUCGGAAGCAGGACACUGAAUUUUGUCACUUCACCUCGACAAGUCGUAAACACGGAGCUGCGUUUCUGCUGGACGGACGUCCACAAACGUCACACUUAAACUAUGCAUGUCAUCACAUUGUGAAAAUAGUUUUGAGGCUCAGGGACUAGAACUCAGAUUUAUGUACAAACUACAUCACGCAACUAUUUGUAACCCGUAAAACCUUUUCAUUAACUGCAGUAAUUCACUCAUUUAAUAUUGAUUCAUCAAGCUGAGCCAACGGCGUCUGUUUGCAAAACUUCUGUCCUCCGUUACGAACAAUUUUAACGCUUUAAAAUGUUUACUCUUCCUCAUG